GUUGUUAUCAAGAACACCAUGCGCGUUGUGGAAGUCUGGAUGGACCAGUAUAAGGACAUCUACUACAGGAGGCAAAAAAUGACGAAAACGAUGUCACCAGGUGACCUGUCACAGAAACGGAAAUUGCGUCACGUCCUAGGUUGCCGGAACUUCACGUAGUAUCUAAGGAAUGUGUAUCCGGAACUCUACGUUCCAGACCUAGUACCAAGAGCUUAUGGUCAGGUAUUACAUAUGUCGACAGGUUUGUGUCUCGACGCCACUAACCCUAACGGCUUGGCUGGA